GACGAACGCUGGCGGCGUGCUUAACACAUGCAAGUCGAACGAAAAGACGCGGCUCUCACUGUUCUCGCGUUGCGGACGGAUGAGUAAGUCGCGGGUGGUUUGCCUCUCACUUUGGCAUGAGUCUGGUAGACUGACUGUAGUACUGAAUAGGACCAUUCUUGAGGUGGUUUGGUGGAUAGAGUAGGUCGGUUAAGGGGUGAGCUCUAGGUCUAUCAGCGCGUUGUUGGGGUAAUGGCAUACCAAGGCGUCGACGGGUAGCCGGCCGGAGCGGGUGGACGGCCACAUUGGGACUGAGAUACGGCCCAGCCUCCUACGGGAGGCAGCAGUGGGGAAUAUUGCACAAUGGGCGCAAGCCUGAUGCAGCGACGCCGCGUGGGGGAUGACGGCCUUCGGGUUGUAAACUCCUUUCAGCCAUGACGAAGCCCUUGUGGUGACGGUAGUGGUAGAAGAAGCACCGGCUAACUACGUG
rnacentral:rRNA from 1 species